rnacentral:rRNA from 1 species
AUGUCACCAAGUGAUUCAGAAUGGCCUUUCAUUCUGAAAAGGAGACAAUACCCAAUAUCAGUGUGCUUUGCUAUGACUAUAAACAAAAGUCAGGGGCAAUCUCUCAAAAAGGUUGGACUCUACUUAGAAAGGCAAGUGUUCACACAGCUCUAUGUUGCAAUGUCAAGGGUUACCAGCAGAAAGGAUUGCGGAUACUCAUAUCAGAUGAAGAGCGUCGAUCCGACAAGAUUGCAAAAAACAUUGUUUUCAAGGAUAUAUUAUAUAUAUUUGUUUUUUAAUAACUAG